rnacentral:tRNA from 1 species
GGACAGGUGGCCGAGUGGCUGAAGGCGCCGGUCUCGAAAACCGGUAUACCGGCAACGGUAUCGAGGGUUCGAAUCCCUCCCUGUCCG